CAAAUGGGGAUUAAAAGUUGGUCUUUGGUCUUCUUUUAGGAAUCAGAUGGUGGAACUGAGACCUCGGACACAAUUGCCUUGGGUAAAACAUCCCUAGCACAUAAUGACUGGCAAGAAGACUCAGAAGAUUGUUGGGAGUCUCGUGUAACCAGGAUGGCACUGACCUCAUUCUAUAGCUGUUACUGGCACUGACUUCCUCAUCUUCCUGGGAUCACAAGCCCUUGCUAUCACACCCAGCUGUCACUGAAUCUUUAUGAUGACUAGAUUUGAACUGCAAUUGAGAUAUUGAGUCCUUCAUUCAGUUCUUGGUUUUGCACUUUAAUCAAAGCCACAAAUCAAAUUCAUACUCAGCAAUUUAUUUUAACCACUAUGAUUCUUAUUUUCCAUUGAGCUAAGAACAGGUAUAUAAUGAAUAAAUUGUCAAAAAAUUAAAUUUAAAUUUAAAAAAUUAAUUUACAAAAACACUUGCAUAAAAGAUGAAAUGCAAUAAGGAAAUCAAAUUUGAGGGAUAUCUCCAUUAUGGAAAUACUUGGCACAUUAGUGUAUAGACCAGUGAUUUGUCUCAAUACCUUUCCCUUUACAAUAUAUGCUAGAUUUGUUGAGGUGCAUGAAAACCCACCUCAGCUAGCAUCUGAAGUCAAUGUUAACCCACUCUAUGUCUCUCCAGCAUAUAACAAACCACUAAUCCACGUGUAUGAAAAGGGUUCACUUCUGAGAUCUGCUGUGGUUCUUUAUGGGGAGUCAAUUUAUUGCUGGGCACUCGAACUAGUUUGUAUCUGAUGGACAGAAGUGGAAAGGCAGACAUCAUUAAACUUAUAAAGCGAAGACCAUUCUGCCAGAUUCAAGUCGUGGAGGCACUCAAUUUGCUGAUGACCAUCUCUGGUUUGUUUAAGACCUAAAAUUAGCUAAGUAAUUAUGUGGAGUAAUUGAAGUGCAAACUAGGUUAAAGGCUUUCUUAGGUAAAACUGUUCAUAAGAAAACACUUUAAAUAUACCCUUUAACUGGGACAGCAGAAUCUCCUACUUGUGUUUUUAUAUCCUUUUACACUUUAAAUAAAAUCCCUUGAUCUUGAUGCACCUAACCUAGGUUGGAGAUCAGAAAAACUGCAUUUACUUCCUUGAAAGUUCUUUUCAGAGUUAUCUCUAAAAUUGCAUAGCUGAAAUCAACAUCCACAAGGGCCAACACCAAUAUCCACCAUCUAGCUUAUGAUAUAUCAGAAACAACAAAGAACCAAAUGGAUGAAUAUUUGGGCAAAAGAGAGAAUUUUACCUGUCUCUGCCUUAUUACAAGGGCAGAUAGACAAGAUUAGGUACAAGAAUGGAUGCCCUAAAGACAUCUGCACCUUUCCCAAACAGUGGUUGGUUUUCAUAAUCUUGAUCUGUCAGAGCCUGAAACUUUGACUUUAAAAAAAACAAGUAAGUUGGUGUUAAACUGUGACUACUAAAUGAAUGAAAAAUAAAUAAUUAAAACAAUGACAUGACUUUCCUA